rnacentral:pre_miRNA from 1 species
UUUUUAAUAUAAAUAUGCCCCAUGCAGUAUUUGGGGCAUACAUAUUCUAAAA